UACGUAGGGGGCAAGCGUUGUCCGGAUUUAUUGGGCGUAAAGAGCGUGUAGGCGGCUUUGCAAGUCCGUUGUGAAAACUCGAGGCUCAACCUCGAGACGCCGGUGGAAACUGCAAAGCUAGAGUCCGGAAGAGGAGAGUGGAAUUCCUGGUGUAGCGGUGAAAUGCGCAGAUAUCAGAAAGAACACCAAUGGCGAAGGCAGCUCUCUGGGACGGUACUGACGCUGAGACGCGAAAGCGUGGGGAGCGAACAGG
rnacentral:rRNA from 1 species